rnacentral:tRNA from 1 species
GCCGGAAUGGUGGAAUCGGUAGACACAAGCGACUUAAAAUCGCUCGCUGCGAAGCGUACGGGUUCAAGUCCCGUUUCCGGCACCA